GACGAACGCUGGCGGCGUGCUUAACACAUGCAAGUCGAACGGAAAGGCCCUGCUUUUGUGGGGUGCUCGAGUGGCGAACGGGUGAGUAACACGUGAGUAACCUGCCCUUGACUUUGGGAUAACUUCAGGAAACUGGGGCUAAUACCGGAUAGGAGCUCCUGCUGCAUGGUGGGGGUUGGAAAGUUUCGGCGGUUGGGGAUGGACUCGCGGCUUAUCAGCUUGUUGGUGGGGUAGUGGCUUACCAAGGCUUGGACGGGUAGCCGGCCUGAGAGGGUGACCGGCCACAUUGGGACUGAGAUACGGCCCAGACUCCUGCGGGAGGCAGCAGUGGGGAAUAUUGCACAAUGGGCGGAAGCCUGAUGCAGCAACGCCGCGUGCGGGAUGACGGCCUUCGGGUUGUAAACCGCUUUCGCCUGUGACGAAGCGUGAGUGACGGUAAUGGGUAAAGAAGCACCGGCUAACUACGUG
rnacentral:rRNA from 1 species